rnacentral:rRNA from 1 species
GACGAACGCUGGCGGCGUGCUUAACACAUGCAAGUCGAACGGAAAGGCCCUGCUUUUGUGGGGUGCUCGAGUGGCGAACGGGUGAGUAACACGUGAGUAACCUGCCCUUGACUUUGGGAUAACUUCAGGAAACUGGGGCUAAUACCGGAUAGGAGCUCCUGCUGCAUGGUGGGGGUUGGAAAGUUUCGGCGGUUGGGGAUGGACUCGCGGCUUAUCAGCUUGUUGGUGGGGUAGUGGCUUACCAAGGCUUUGACGGGUAGCCGGCCUGAGAGGGUGACCGGCCACAUUGGGACUGAGAUGCGGCCCAGACUCCUACGGGAGGCAGCAGUGGGGAAUGGUGCACAAUGGGCGGAAGCCUGAUGCAGCAACGCCGCGUGCGGGAUGACGGCCAUCGGGUUGUAAACCGCUUUCGCCUGUGACGAAGCGUGAGUGACGGUAAUGGGUAAAGAAGCACCGGCUAACUACGUG